rnacentral:rRNA from 1 species
UGGGGAAUAUUGCACAAUGGGGGAAACCCUGAUGCAGCGACGCCGCGUGAGCGAAGAAGGCUUUCGAGUCGUAAAGCUCUGUCCUAUGAGAAGAUAAUGACGGUAUCAUAGGAGGAAGCCCUGGCUAAAUACGUGCCAGCAGCCGCGGUAAUACGUAUGGGGCGAGCGUUGUCCGGAAUUAUUGGGCGUAAAGGGUACGUAGGUGGUUUUUUAAGUCAGGUGUCAAAGCGUGGAGCUUAACUCCAUUAAGCACUUGAAACUGAAAGACUUGAGUGAAGGAGAGGAAAGUGGAAUUCCUAGUGUAGCGGUGAAAUGCGUAGAUAUUAGGAGGAAUACCGGUGGCGAAGGCGACUUUCUGGACUUUUACUGACGCUCAAGUACGAAAGCGUGGGGAGCAAACAGG